AAGAAAUGUAAUAUUUUAAAAUUAUUACUUAUUUUUACUAAAAAAAUUAUUUUUAGUUACGAAAAUUUGUAAUUUUAAUUAUUUGGUUAAGUAAUUAUAGUUGUAAGAAAAAACAAUCAUUGAUGUGAAUAAAUGUAAUAUUAAAAAAAAACAUAUAUAAAUGGAAAAAAAUAGAAAAAAAGUGUUGAAAAUAAAAAAUUAAACAAAAAAGCCAUAAAAAAUUGAAAAAAAAAUGAAAGACAAAAAACUAAAAAAAGAAAGCAAAAAGGAACAAAAAAAAAGAGAAAAAACGAUAAAGCUAAAAAAGGAACAAAAAAAAAACAAAAGAAAAAACGAAAAAGACAAAAAACUGAAAAAAAUAAAAUAAUAAAAAAGCAAAAAAUGAAACCAAGGAAAAGGAACAAAAAAACCAAGAAAAAUGGACAAAGGGGUUUCGAACCCUGUUCCUUAGAAAUAUGAGGCAACGUCUUUACCAAUGCACCAAACACUGCUUUUAAUUUUAUUUACUAAAAUAAUUUAUAUAACAGUUUGAUCCGGGUCGGGGCCGCAUAGCAUGCGGGCACCCGCACCCAAGUCUAAC
rnacentral:lncRNA from 1 species